GGUGCCGCCGAACCUGCCUGACUUUCGGCUCUGAAGGGACUUUCGGCCGCCGAACCUGCCGCCGAAAGUGCCCUGUCCAGCCCUUUCUUGCAUGUUUUUCUAUGAUUAUUCCAUGAUGUUUUAAGGGGUUUUUGGGGAAUAGUUUAGAGUUAUGUUCAUGUAUGUUUGGUCCCUCAUUUGAGUCCACCUGUGUAGGUUCGGACCCGAGGAACCGAGGACCCCAGCAGUGAGUCUGUUGCCCCAGUGUCUGGUCAGAGCUACCCAGAGGUG
rnacentral:lncRNA from 1 species